UCGCAGAAAAUUCAUGUAUUUUCACAUUUUUUUCAAGCAAGGGAGAAUGCUACAAAUAUAUUUGUGAUCUUAUAGGUGAUGCUAAAGUUAAGUACUCUGAAUGGUGUAUUGAAAAUGAUAUGGUGAAUGUAACCUGAUUUUUUGUUUGUAGAAAAUUGAUAAUUAUUUGUUUAUUGAUUUCCAUGCUAAUUUAUUUAUAUUUAUGCAAACAAGCAUUGUGUGAUAUUAUAUGAUAGUUUGUAUUUAACUAACUUAUGCAAACCACUAGGACUCAACGUGAUAAUUUAUAACUGAUUUACGAAAACAUGAUACACAGUGCAGGAGCAGCCUUCUGUGUGGUAAGAUAGCAACUUAUUAAUAUAAUGACAAGAACCUCUAGUAUGUUGUCUUUGAAAACUAUACUCACAAAGAAUAUAUAUAACUCCUUGCAAAGAUUUAGUAUUUAUCACUGGUAAUAAGAUAUUGUUAAUAUGUCGUGCAAGUCCUUCAUGUAUUUAAUUAUUUAUAUAUGCAUGAUAUUCAUUGUUUUGAUUUCUGAAUGAUUUGGAGAAGAGAUCAGUGGGAAGCACGAGUCCAGUGAAUGUUUAAUAUUUAUAUAUGUUUGAUAUUAAUGGAAUUUUUUAUUUAUUUUUUAUACAAAUUAAUUUGUCACUUCAGUGUUAAUUGCAUAAAUAUUAAUGAUUUAAGAUUGAAAUCAAUCAUUAAUUAUUAAAUAGAAAAAUGAGUAAAAGAGUAAUAAGAACAUUUUUUGAGAUGAGUUGCUCGGUUGGAUUAAAUAUAUAUCAAGGAAUCUUACUAUAGUGAUCUGGACUAAGGCAAAAGGUCUUCAUAAUGUAUUCAGAUUCUUUACUCUGCCACUAUUACUUACAUUUAUUUGUUCAAAGCUUUGCAGUUGGAGAAUAUGUAUCUCAUUCUUCAAGUUAUGUUUAGUACAUUAUAGUUAAAUGUUUCACAUUCACACCUACAUUUUCUCCCAUGUCUCUUAAUUACUUCCUCGUUCUUUCCCCAAAUAUUUUUUUUAACAUCAUUCUCAUACCUCAUAUCUUACAUUGUGUUUGUCCACUAUUCAUAUACAUAUUCUUAUACCCAUGUCAGUUAAUUUAUUCUAUAGUAGUGUUGACUCAAUAUCUCCUCUCUUCUUUUUGUGUCCCUUAGUACUUCACAUUCUUAAAGUCACUUUUUCUUACUGUAAUCCUUUUUCUUUUACCCUGCAUUAAUUUUACUAGCAUAACUGAAGUUAGAGUGUUGUAUCUAGUGCUUUGGUUUCUAGUAGAGAAAGGGGGUCUACCACAGCUUGCAGAGUACUCCAAGACCUGUGUCUUAUUGAAUGACAGCAUGUUGUACUGUAUUUUCUCAUUUCCUUGGUUUGUUGUGUAGGUAAGGAAUAAGAUAGUAGACAGAACUGAGUUAAGUUUAGUUUCACACUAACAGGAUGGCAUAUAGAGAUUCAGUACUGCUAUUUGUUUAGAUGUCACAUAUCAAAAGUAAGAAUGGUAUAGGAGAGUUAUCAGUGGCUGUCCUUUUUUCCUCUCUCUCUCCCCAUAGUCAAAACUAAAAGAUGAUUUGAGGAAUUUGUGCUUGUUAAAGUUGUGGAAAAAAGGACAGAAUAUGUGGCACAAAUCCUGAAUGAUGUGUUUUCCUGAAUUGUUCUUUUUCCCAGUGAAAUUUGGUUGCAACAAACAUUUUUUUUUUCCAAAGCAAAGUUGUGAACAGUCAUAUUAUUGUAUAGGAAUGUAUGAUUAAAUGACAAUUACCUAUUUGUUCUACCUAAGUAAUAUAUGCUUCAUUGUUACAGCAAUUAGACUGUAGGUUGACAUGAAGUAGGUGGUUUUAAUCACCAAGAAUUUUAUAUUUUUAUGAGUACAAAUGUAAAUAAGAUGAUAAUAAAUAUCUUCUCAUUA